GGCAUGCAAGUUUCUCGCGAGAGGGCGAACUGCUCAGUAACACGUAGCUAACCUAACCUCAGGUCAAGGAUAACCUCGGGAAACUGAGGAUAACACUUGAUAGAAAAUGAAUUCUGGAAUGAAUAAUUUUUGAAAUUCGAGCCUGAGGAUGGGGCUGCGGUUGAUUAGCUUGUUGUUGGUGUAAUAGACUAACAAGGCGAUGAUCAGUAAGGGCUCUUAGCGGAGAAGCCCUGAGAAGGAAUUUGAGAUAUUAUUUUUAGUUUUAUGGGAUGCAGUAGCUGAGGAAAUUUUACAAUGUUUGUAAGAGUGAUAGAAUAAACCAGAGUGAUGUUCUUAGAACAUCUUUUGUCUGAUGUAAAAAGUCAGACGAAUAAGGACUGGGCAAGAUUGGUGCCAGCCGCCGUGGUAAUAUCGGCGGUCCGAGUCGCAUCCACAUUUAUUGGGUCUAAAAUAUUUGUAGUUUGUUUUGUAAGUUUCUUGUGAUAUCUCAUAUUUCAAGUAUGAGGCGUGCAAGAAAUACUGCAAUACUAGAGACCGGAAGAUGUAAGGAGUAUGAUUAAGGUAGCGGUAAAAUGUGUUAAUCUUAAUUGGAUUAACAAUGGUGAAGGUACCUUACGAGUACGGAUUUGACAGUGAGGGAUGAAGGCUAGGGGCGCAAAAGGGAUUAGAUAUCCCUGUAGUCCUAGCAGUAAACACUGCUCACUAAACAUCAGUGCCUCCUCGAGAGGUAUUGGUGCUGUAGGGAAGCCGAAGAGUGAGCUACCUGGGAAGUAUAGUCGCAAGGCCGAAAUUUAAAGGAAUUGGCGGGGAGGCACUACAACGGGUGACGCGUGCGGUUCAAUUAGAGUAUAUAUUGUGAAUCUCACCAGGAGCGACAGCAGAAUGAAGGUUAGUUUAAAGGGUUUAUUUGAUAUGUUGAGAGGAGCUGCAUGGCCGACAUAAGCCUGUGUUGUGAGAUGAUUUGUUAAAUUAAGUAACAGGCGAGACCCCUGUGUCUAAUUUUUAUGUUAAGAGUAUAUUAGACAGACUGCCUUGGUAACAAGGAGGAAGGUGGGGGCUAUGUUAGGUGAGUACAGCCCGAAUCCCCUGGGCAACACGCGCGCGGCAAUGCUGCAUUCAACGAGAUGCAACUCUGAAAAGAGAAGCUAAUCUCAUAAAGUGCAGCUUAGUUCAGAUUGAGGUUUGCAAUUUAACCUCAUGACGAUGGAAUCCGUAGUAAUCGUUUGUUAUUAACGAACGGUGAAUAUGUCACGGCCUCUUGCACACACUGCCCGUCAAACCAACCGAGUUAUGCUUUGGCGAGGUCCUUCGGGGACGAACCUUGGUAUGACAAGGUAGGUUAAGUUGGCACAAGGUA
rnacentral:rRNA from 1 species